UGAGUAACACGUAUCCAACCUGCCGUCUACUCUUGGCCAGCCUUCUGAAAGGAAGAUUAAUCCAGGAUGGCAUCAUGAGUUCACAUGUCCGCAUGAUUAAAGGUAUUUUCCGGUAGACGAUGGGGAUGCGUUCCAUUAGAUAGUAGGCGGGGUAACGGCCCACCUAGUCAACGAUGGAUAGGGGUUCUGAGAGGAAGGUCCCCCACAUUGGAACUGAGACACGGUCUAA
rnacentral:rRNA from 1 species